GCAACGCGAAGAACCUUACCCAGGCUUGACAUGCAGAUGACCGCUCUAGAAAUAGAGUUUCCUUUCGGGACAUUUGCACAGGUGCUGCAUGGCUGUCGUCAGCUCGUGCCGUGAGGUGUUGGGUUAAGUCCCGCAACGAGCGCAACCCUUAUCAUUAGUUGCCAACAGGUGAAGCUGGGAACUCUAAUGAGACUGCCUGGGUUAACCAGGAGGAAGGUGAGGAUGACGUCAAGUCCGCAUGGCCCUUAUGUCUGGGGCUACACACGUGCUACAAUGGUCGGUACAGAAGGCAGCGAAACCGCGAGGUGAAGCAAAUCCAACAAAGCCGAUCUCAGUUCAGAUUGUAGUCUGCAACUCGACUACAUGAAGACGGAAUUGCUAGUAAUGGCGAGUCAGCAACAUCGCCGUGAAUACGUUCCCGGGUCUU
rnacentral:rRNA from 1 species